AAACAUGUCAGGGGGCAUUGCUUGGUCAGUAGCUUGUACCUCUCCCAGGCUUCAUAAAGGGUCUCACCAUCUUUCUGCCUAAAGGUCCGAAAAUCCACCCUUAGCUU